GACAGAUAAUUUUAAUUUAUAAGGCAAAUUGACAAAUGCGCGGGGUGUCUUCUAUUAUUUUGCGAAGUAUUUAUUUACGUAUAAUUCGACUAAAAUCGGCAAAUGCAAGACAUGUUUGAAGAUUUAGCGAAAGAUUAGUGAAAAUUACUUGUUGCAUCAUUUAAAAGUGAUAAAUUUGUGGGUCAAACUUAUAGUUAAUAGUAUUAUCUAAUAACGUUCUCAUAUUUAAUUGGAUGAUCAAAAAUGAUAGCAGAUAACGUGACAUUGAUUGUGAAGGCACCAAAUCAGCAGAUCGAGGAUCAAAACGUCGAGUGCCAGACUUCUUGGACCGUGAGGCAACUGAAGGGCCACCUUUCAGUAGUAUACCCAAGCAAACCGAAAGAAGACGAGCAGAAAAUAAUAUACUCAGGCCAACUUCUAGACGACAACACUAUCCUGAAGGAUGUGCUGAGGAACUACGAGACCCAGAUCGCGCAUACUAUGCACUUGGUGUGCUCUAACAAGAAAAUGAUGGAACAAAAGCCUGAGCUGCCCAAAACCGACGGCCUACGCCAGAGGAACGUUACGGAGACCGCCCCACGGCCGGCCGAGACCACGUCCAGGCCAGAAACGAGGCAGAAUGACCAGAACCACACAGUAGAAAUGCAGAACUACCUUAAUUCUUACCUAAACAACUACGGAAGAGUACCUCCAUAUCCAAACUAUAACCUAAACCUUGGACAAGGUUACCUUCCCGUACCAAAUGAUCCAGCAUCCAUGGCUAAUCAUGUUCUUAUGGUUCAGCAAGCGUACAUCCAGUAUAUGCAGCAGUAUAAUAACAUGAGGAAAUCGUUAGCGGAGACGCAGCCAACUCCACCACCAGUAGAAACGCCCCCGCAGCCCCCGGCUGAGGCGCCCGAGGCCGAGCCGGAGGACGGACAAGCCAGAGACUGGCUGGACCAUCUGUACGCCGCGUCCAGGUUUGGCAUACUGCUGUCGCUGUUCUGGCUGUACGGCAGCCCGGCCAGGCUGCUACUCGUCGUGCUUCUGGCGGCUGCUGGCUAUCUGCACCAAAUCGGUUUCUUCCGCGACCUCCACUUGAACCCAGGCAACAACCAACCGAACCAGGUGAACCAACCGCGCCGCAACCAGCAACCGCCCGACAACCAGAACGACGACAACCAGAACCCCGAGCCAACCGCCCGCCCCAACAACGAACCGCCAAAUAACGAAGAUGACAACCAACAGUCGUUAUUAGCGGUCACCUGGAUGAUAUUCACAACGUUCUUCGCUUCCUUAGUACCGGAUACCAAUAAUUAAGUUCCAAGAACAUAAUAUAAUCUGAAUUAUUGUUUGUAGUGUACCUCUUUCAGACUGUGGUAGUGUUUUACUAUGAGGUUCCCAAAAUGGGCUAUGGAAAUUACUGCGGAAUAUAGCCCAGCCAUAAUAAAAUAAUGUUUCGUUUCUUUUGCUGGAUGUAAUAACAAAUUGCCAACUAUACGAUUGCUCGUAACUUAGUGUAGAUUUGCUGUCAAAUUGCUGGCAAUAAAAAACAGUCAUGAAAAUUGCUGCAAAAUAUACCUCAGCUGUAAAAAAAAAUCGUUUACUCAGCCCAGUCGCUAGAUUUAAUGACAAGUUGAGCUGUGGAGAGUUGGCAGUUUUAGGAUUUGAAUUAACUGUCAAAUUGCUAACAACAGAUUGCAUAAAAAUUACUGCAAAACAUAGCCCGGCCAUAUAGCCCAGCCAUAAAAAAUUAAAUGUUUCAUUUAUUUAAUCACUAGAUUAAAUGACAAGUUUCCAGCUACUACGCGAUUGUUGGCUACUCAGUAACAUAGAUUUGCUGUCAAAUUGCUGGCAAUUCAAAAAUUGCUGGCAAUUAAAAACAACAGUCUUCUUAUCAUCUUUGUUUGCUUUAGACACAAGUUGCCGGGUAAGAAAUUGCAUGCUUAAAAUCAUUUUUGGGCUAUAAAAUUGCAUUUAAGCUAUCAACAUAGCUUUGUUAGCUUAAUUAUUUGUUAGGUCAGGCAACUUGAGGGCUACCAGCUCGAGAAAUUGCUAAAAUACAAGCCUACAGUAGGUAGGUUUUUCAGUGAAAUCUUUUCUCUUUAUAAAUAACUUCUGUAAAAUAUUGCCAGUUGAAAUAAAUCCAGUGUUAGUGACAAUUUUCAAGGUAGCAACACUGUAAAUAUUAUACACUAUUUUUAAAAUAUUGUGAAGUUAAAAUAUUUAAAAAUAAAGAAUUAAUAAUAAAAAAUGCUGAACACUCACAGACUAAAUAAAAAAACAAUAUUUUAUUAUUUAAAUUCAAUAAGUAGACAUGUAUUUAAAUAUGCAAACCUUGAAAAUCGUAAUUCGAUUUUAAUCGAAAGUAUUUUGUAUAGUGAUCAUAAACUCAUGUCAUAAGAUAAGAUCACAAGGAUUCGUUUCCAGUGAAGCGGAGCGGAGUGAUGUGUUCAACACACCAAGUGUUAUAAUAUGACGUAAUACACGUCAUCACUCAGUAUAAAUCUGAUCGAUCGAAAGCACUCGUCUCCGCUCCGCUCCGCUUCAAUGGAAACACCCUAAGCGUAUAAUGCCUAACAAUAACAAAAACAUAUUUGGGUGUUUCAUCUGUUAUUAUGUAGUCUGUGAAUGAACUGCUUAAAAAUAUUCGAGAUAAUUAUAUUGAGUUGGUUUAUGUGAGGUUUAGCAAAAUUAAGAAAAUUAAAUUAGAACUUUGAAAUUUAAUUUAU